UCCUCCCCCGCCCUCGGGGCGCCGCUGCUGCCUUUUCGCCGCUUUUUGCUAGAAAACGAAACCUCCUCUACAGCCUUCCUAGCCUCCGCCAGGGGCCAGCAGGGCCUGGAGCCGGGGGACGAGGAAAGGGGUGCAGGCAGCGUGCGUGAGGCGCCCAACAUUUCUGGGGUUGUGUGCCCACCCAGUUCCGGCAGAAUGGGAAAGAGGAAUCUGCGAUUGAAGCGCGGCAGCCCGGAAACCCCUCUGCUGGGAACUGAAUCGUGGCCCGCGGCCUUGGGGCGCAGCCCUUCUGCCCCACCAACCCACUGAGGAUGCUCCAGACUAGGUCUUGGGAAAACUGAGGGGGCGUAUUGGUAGAAACAAGCAUGGAAUCCCCAAGCUGGGAGUUUACAAAACUCGCCAAGCGCCUCCCCGAGUGCGGUUCCUCUCGGCCGCGAGGAGGUCGCGACCCUGACGCAGCUGCCGCCUCUCCCGGCUUCCCGCACUUCACUCCCAGUCGCGGAUCUGCCCCUGGUAUUCCGGAGGAACCUGCAUGUCCGAACGUACUCGCCCGGAUUCCCCCAGGGACGGCUCGACCCCGUGUAGAGCGCGAAGGUCUCAGGGGUCAGAGGCCGUGGGGAGGGACUGCAGUUGUGGCACCUCACUCGCAUUCGCUGCCGCCUUUCGACCUGCUCAAAAAUAAAAAUUAAGCCCCA